AACGAACGCUGGCGGCAUGCCUAACACAUGCAAGUCGAACGAGAACUUCGGGUCUAUUGGCGCACGCGAUCGUAACGCGUGGGAACCUGCCCAUAGGUUCGGAAUAACUCCCCGAAAGGGGUGCUAAUAUCGGAUAAUGUCUUCGGACCAAAGCUUUAUCGCCUUUGGAUGGGCCCGCGUUGGAUUAGCUAGUUGGUAGGGUAAACGCCUACCAAGGCGACGAUCCAUAGCUGGUAUGAGAGGAUGAUCAGCCACACUGGGACUGGGACACGGCCCAGACUCUUACGAGAGGAAGCAGUGCGGAAUGUGGGACAACGGGCGAAAGACUGAGGCAUUAAGGCUGCGAAAGUGAUGAAAGCCGGAGGGAAGUAAAGCUCUUGUACCCGGGAAGAUAUUGACGGUACCGGAAGAGAAAGCCCCGGCUAACUCCGUG
rnacentral:rRNA from 1 species